GGGAGGUUUCCCUGAUCUGCAGGAAUCAGCGUGGACGGCAGAGCCUCCCUGACAGGAGAGGGAAUAGUUAUGGAAGGACCUGAGAUGAGUGGAGGCGAGUGUGGAGAGGCUAUGCAGGCCCAGACUCUGGGACCCCGUAGGCCAUGGGAAGAACUUCGAUCUUCAGUCCAGGAGCCCUGGGAACGGAAUAUUGUUGUUUGACUUUUGCGAUGAUCAGUUUCACAUAUCCACUUGGCCAGUCGCUGGUACCCGGUUAUUCCAUCAAACACUAAAUCAGAUUAUCCUGGGUGAGACUGAUUCAAUCAGCUGAAAGACCUCAGGAGCGGAACUGAGGCUUCCCUGAGAAAACAUAAAUUCUGCCUAUGGACAGCAAUUUCAGUUCACCCCUAAAAUCCCACCCUCCUCUUUCUGAUGGCCUGUGCUGUGGACUUCCGAUGUGCCUUGCCAGCGCCCACAAUCAUGUGCAGCAAGUUGCCUUUUUAAAAUGUGCACUUUGGCCGGGUGUGGCAGCUCACUCUUGUAAUCCUAGCACUUCGGGAGGCCGAAGUGGGAGAACUGCUUGAGGCCAGGAGUUCGAGACCAGCCUGGGCAACAUCGUGAGACCACAUCUGUACAACAAAUAAAAUUUAAAAAAAUAUUAGCCAGGCAUGGUGGUGCAUGC
rnacentral:lncRNA from 1 species